rnacentral:rRNA from 1 species
GACGAACGCUGGCGGCGUGCCUAAUACAUGCAAGUAGAACGCUGAAGGAGGAGCUUGCUUCUCUGGAUGAGUUGCGAACGGGUGAGUAACGCGUAGGUAACCUGCCUGGUAGCGGGGGAUAACUAUUGGAAACGAUAGCUAAUACCGCAUAAGAGUAGAUGUUGCAUGACAUUUGCUUAAAAGGUGCAAUUGCAUCACUACCAGAUGGACCUGCGUUGUAUUAGCUAGUUGGUGGGGUAACGGCUCACCAAGGCGACGAUACAUAGCCGACCUGAGAGGGUGAUCGGCCACACUGGGACUGAGACACGGCCCAGACUCCUACGGGAGGCAGCAGUAGGGAAUCUUCGGCAAUGGACGGAAGUCUGACCGAGCAACGCCACGUGAGUGAAGAAGGUUUUCGGAUCGUAAAGCUCUGUUGUAAGAGAAGAACGAGUGUGAGAGUGGAAAGUUCACACUGUGACGGUAUCUUACCAGAAAGGGACGGCUAACUACGUG